ACAGCGCAGUACGCCGUACGUACCACACUUGCGUCGAUCCGAAUGGUUGCGCAGACGUUAAAGUGAGUGCGCCCUUCUAUUGCGCCAGUGCGUAGCGUGGUGGUUCUGUUUUCGAGCGCCAAAUCACGCGGUGCAGCCAAAUCGUGCUGAACGAAAACCAGACACUAUCAGGUUUAUAUUGAAAUGAUAUCGAUACAGGUCAAACGUGCGUGUGUGACUCGGGUGGCUGAUGAUCGAGACACAGGGUCGAGAAAAAUGAUUCGGCUCGGCUCUAUCGUAUAGCUCGAUCAUCGCUUCCAGGCCCUUGCGUGCCGCCGAUUGCAAUGCCAGCUGCAU